rnacentral:rRNA from 1 species
UACGUAGGGGGCAAGCGUUGUCCGGAUUUAUUGGGCGUAAAGAGCGUGUAGGCGGCCAGACAGGUCUGCUGUGAAAACUCGAGGCUCAACCUCGAGACGCCGGUGGAAACCGUUUGGCUAGAGUCCGGAAGAGGAGAGUGGAAUUCCUGGUGUAGCGGUGAAAUGCGCAGAUAUCAGGAAGAACACCGGUGGCGAAGGCGGGUCUCUGGGCCGGAACUGACGCUGAGGAGCGAAAGCGUGGGGAGCGAACAGG